UGUUUGAGCAGGUACUCUGGACUUCACGCGAUUCUCCUACUGGAUUGAUACCUUGGUUCUCAAACUCAGGGAAAUACUUACUGCUCCUGUGCUGCAUCACCCUUUCCUCUUCAAGGGAAAAACCAACGCAAGCUCAAGAGACAACAGAAGGUUUUUGUCGACGUAGCACAAACCACAAAGAGGUAUAAGGCAUCACCAGAGGGCUCAUAACACUGACAAAGACGGUCCACAUCUCAAAGACAGUAGGAAGACCCAGAAACUUAGAGGCAAACUGGGGCAGAACACUAGCACUGAGAAACAGCUGCAUCACGAGCAUCAUCAUCAAGCCACUGGGUGUAAACAGUUAGACCACCAUGAUACGCUUGAAGAGCCUUCUCAUAAAUCAAAACCUGCUCAUCAAAAGUACGAACAGCGGCCUCAUCAGCAAGCUUAGCUGCAUCCUUCGUAGCCUGAUUAGCAUCCGCACGAAUAACCGGUGGCGUCGGCGGAGUGGGGGCCACAGGAGGAACCGGACGUGGCGGACAACGGACCUGGCCAGAAAGAACGCCCCAGAGACGGAUGCCACACAUGUGAAUGCGCAUGAAGCCAAUGAACUCGGUGUAGUUAGUGCCAUAAAAAAUCACCGGACAAUGAUGAACAACAACGUAUCCUGAUGCAGCAGACAUUUUUUUACUCAGCAGAGAUCGAGACGGGACCAGCAGCAACGAGGAACUAGCAGAAUCCGACGAGAUCCAGCGAAAGCAGUCGGGAUCCGGCAAGAUUGGGGCAACCAGCAGUUGGAUCGGGACCCUGGGGCGGCUGGAGGCGGAUCCAAUCGGGAUUAGGGUGGCUGGCGGCGGCUAGAGGUGAAGCGGAUCGGGCGGCUGGCGGCGACGGGAGAUGAAUCGAAGGUGGCGGCGGCUGGAGGCGGCGGGGGAUCCGACGGGGCGGCCACGGGAGGAGCCGGCAGCAGGGGCUACGGCGGGCGUUUGAUCUGGCGGUACAACAGCAGCUGGACGAGAAUGGGAGCUGCAGCAAGAUCGAGAGAAGCAGCAGGAGGACAUUGGGAGCAGCAGCGAGAUCCGGUAGGAGCAGCGAGACGAACGGCGGCUGCGUGGAGGAGGAUUGGAGCACGAGUUGCGCGUGCGAAGAAAAAACCCUAGAGCUCUAAUACCAUGUUAGGAAUAAGCGACUUGUAUUCUCAUGAGGCCACAGGCCGGUAUAUAUACAUGUACAGGUGAUGAACUAUAUGGAGGAAACCUCUUAUAUAUUAGGAUAAAUACAAAAGGGUACAUGGCUAUAUUAUAUAUACUCUAACAGACCCGAAGUCUUGAUUAAGCAUUAUGGGGCCAAAAAUUAUCAUAAUUGCCGGAAUGAGAAGUUGCCAUCAAUAUAAGCAUAACGAAUUACCACAGCCACAUGUAUCCUCGAUUGUCAGACGGCAACCCUGAAGAGGUUAAAUUUUUUGAAAGAUCCAGCUUGGACUGCUGGCAUAUAUUAGAACUUAGCAGGUAGAANNNNNNNNNNNNNNNNNNNNNNNNNNNNNNNNNNNNNNNNNNNNNNNNGCGAUUACAGCAAGGCGGGGGAUACGAUCCUAGGAUCAAGGAGAAAAAGGGAGAGAAACUUAAAAAGAAAACGAGAGGGGGGGGGGUAGAGUCGAUCCCUCACGGAGGAUCCCAGAAAGGGGGCUCCAAGAAGAAUGCUCCAUCUUGUCUCCAUAGCUCAACGGUUCUCGUGAUUGCGCAUUGUAAGUCUUGUAUCUGCGCCUGCUUGUUUGAGAAGGUGCAAUCAUUCCUGUGUUUCCAAAUCUCCCAUAGAAUCAGUAUGAUCAUCGUCUUGGUAGCCUUGCGGUGAAGUGGUUGGGCCGCCCCGAUCAUUGCGGUUAUCUUCUCGACUGACCCAGUCUUCGUCGCCCAUAAGGGAGGGGACAAAGAGGCGCAUCCAGCCCUGGAGGCGGCCUCCGUCCAAAUCUGCAGCGUCAUGGGGCAUUCCCAGAACAGAUGUACUGAUGUCUCGAGGUUCCGUAGGCAUAGCUGACAGAAAUAGCCGUUUGGCCAUCGACGACGUUGCAGUCGGUCAUUGCACCAUAACCUGUUGCGAAGAACUAGCCAGCAAAAAAUCUUGAGCCUAGGGGGUGCCCAGGUCCUCCACAUUAACUUCUUGAAAUCGGACGUUAGCCUUCCUUGGAACUGUGCAUUGUAUGCCGACCUGGCCGAGUAUGUUUGUGAGGCCUCAAGGUUCCAUGUAAUAGUGUCCGCAGUUUCUGCGUGCAGUUGCAAAUCUUUGUCUUGUAGCCAUCUGUGGAGCCUAAUCGCGUCCUCCCAAAGGUGCGAAUUGCUACCAUGUGCUAAGUCUGCUACCCAGGUGUUGUCCCGAAGAGCCUCUCGCACUGUUCUUUGCUUCCUCCUCGAGUGCUUGAAAAGGGAUGGGAACAGUGUCUUGAGGGAACUUGUUCCCGUCCACGAGCAGUGCCAGAAGGAUGUCGUUGCGCCGUUGCCUAGGGUGACAGUUGUUGAUGCGUUGAAAAGCUCUCUGUCCACCUCGUCGCAGGGAAGAUUCAUGCCCUGCCAGGCCCUGUCAUUGCUCGUCCAUUGCAGCCAAAGCCAUCUUAGCCUGAGGGCCCAGCUGAAACGGUUUAGGUCAAGGAUGCCAAGUCCCCCAUUCUCCAAAGGGGAGCAGACUGUGGGCCAAUUCACUUUACUCUUGCCUCCACCUAGCUCCCCGUCUUCUUGAGCCCACAGAAAACGGCAUCUAGCUCUAUCUAUCUCGUCGAAGAAUUUCCUCGGCGCCCUUAGCACAGAUAAUGCGAACGUGGGUAGAGCUGAGAGGACGUUACGUACUAAGACUCGCCUGCCGGCUAUGUUAAGAAGCUUCCCCUUCCAUCCCGCUAAUCUAGCUCUGAUCCUGUCUAAGAUGAACUGAAUGUGGACGAGCCUAAGCCUCGAUAAAGUUAUCGGCAGGCCCAGGUAGGUCAGCGGGAAGUCGACUACUUUCCCUCCGAAGGCGGCUAAGAUGUGGUGCAGAUCGGCACCAUCCACAUCUGAUCGGAGCAGCUGUUGAUUUGGACGGAUUGAUGAGCAGCCCCGAUGCUCGCCAAAAGUCACGUAGGAUAGCCAUGAGAACUAUGAUCUCUUCUGCUGCCGGAUUGGCAAAGAUGACGGCGUCGUCUACAUAGAGGCUAACUCUGAGGGGAAUUCCCCUGCCUGGUAGCGGUGCAAUUUCUUGCAACUCCGUGGCCUUCUCAAGGAGGCGGUGGAGGGUGUCAAUGGCGAUGAUGAAGAGCAGUGGGGAGAGGGAGUCUCCUUGCCGUAGGCCCCGUUGAUGGGUGAAGUAGCAGCCGGUAGUGCCGUUUAGCAAGACGGCCGAAGAGGCCGUGCAUAGCAGCAGGGACACCCAGUCCCGCCAGCGUGCCGGAAAACGUAGUUGCUGCAACACCUCUAGAAGGUACUCCCAUGAGACGCUAUCGAAAGCUUUAGCAAUGUCUAUCUUAAGCAGGAGAGCUCGUUGUUUCUUCCUAUGCAGUGAUCGCACUAUAUUUUGCACAUAGAGGAAACUAUCUUGCGUUGAUUUGGAGCGAAGGAAAGCAGAUUGCGCAGGUGAGAUUAUGGUACUAAUCACCGCGGAUAGACGCCGGGAGAGGACUUUGGAGAUUAGCUUGGCCACCGAAUGAAUUAGACUAAUCAAUCUGUAGUCCUGGAUCGCACUCGCACCGUCCUUCUUUGGUAACAGAAUUAUCAGGGCUGUGUUUAGCUUGGCGAAGUCUCCUCUAGACAGAUUGUAGAAGCUAGUGAAUGUUGCCAUGAUGUCUUCUUUGAUAAUGUACCAGCAGACUCUAUAGAAGGUCCCAGAGAAUCCAUCUGGCCCUGGGGCCUUCUCUACCGGUGAUGCUUUGAUCGCCUCCCAGACCUCUUCCUCAGAGAAGGGGUUGUCUAAGCCCCUAUUAUGGACAGAUGGUAGGUUAAAGAUCGACCAGUCCACUUGUAGGGAUCGCUCUAUCCUGCUACCCAUGGAGAGUUUGAAGUGGUUGUGAAUGGCCUCCUCCUUGUGCUCGUGCGCCGUAAGCAGGUCGCCUCCUACUCGAAGGCAGUGGAUAAAAUUCUUCCGCUUCCUAGUAGUUGCCUUGGCAUGGAAGAACUUGGUGCCCGCGUCUCCUAGCCGGAGCCAGGUGAGCCGAGAGGCCUGUCUCCUGCACGCUCUAGUGCCGCGAGACCCAGCAGUCGUAGUUUGAGCAGCUUACGGAGGGCAUGCUCUGCGUCUGAGAGACGGCGCCUCUCCUGUGCGACAUCUAGCCGUAGCACUAUCUCUGCCGCCAUGUGGAAUUGGAGCUUGGCCUGGCUAAAGAAGCUCUUACUCCAGUUCUUGAGCUCUCUUGCAGUCCUCGCCAUCUUCGUGGCAAGGCGUUGGAAUGGACACGAGGACCGCUCCGUCCUCUUCCAUGCCCGCUCGACCGUUGCAUGGAAGCGAGGGAAGCUGGGCCAGAAGUUCUCGAAUCUGAAUAGGGCUGUCCUGGGGGCAGCAGAAGUGUCAGCUAAUAUCAGCGGGCAGUGAUCUGAUGUUGCUGUCGACGCUGUGAUGAGUGCUACGGAUGGGAAAAUGCAUUCGCAGGAUGUGUUGCAGAAGAAUUUGUCGAUGCUCAUUAGGGUUGGGUCGUUGCGCUCGUUGCUCCACGUGUAUCUAUGGUUCUUGCAUUUGAUCUCCUUCAGACCCUUAGCAUCGAUGGCUGCUCGGAACCAACCCAUCAACCUGCGGCUGAGAUUUAUGUUGCUCUUGUCCCGUGCCUCGUAAAUGAGGUUGAAGUCGCCGUUGAUGAGCCAAGGAUCGUUUGGUGGUGACGCCGAGAGUGAGAGUUCCCGAAGGAAAGCGUUCUUUCUUGCGUCAUCCGCCGGACCGUAGACUGUCGAGAGCCAGAAGUCCUGCGCCUGCCCGAGGAAGGUGACUUUGGCUGUAAUAGCAAAAAUUCCUAUGGCAUGCGAUGAGAUUGUGACCAGGUCCUUGUCCCAAAGGAUCGCCGCGCCUCCACUAGUCCCUAUUGCCGAUAGAACUAUACAUCCUGUAAGCCUGGCGCUCCCUAUCUCGCGGACUAGUUCCGGUGACCAGGCGGAGAUCUUUGUCUCUUGGAUGCAAAGAAUGGUUGUGCGCUGGGCGGCUGCCAGCUCCCCGACUGUCGCUCUCUUAGCUGGAUUGUUCAGGCCCCGAACAUUCCAGCACAUGAUGGGUUGAAUCUUGUUAUGCAUCUAAAACACAAAGGAAUCUCCGAUGAUUAGAACAGGACGGCCCAGGGCCGACAAAGCACACCACCUUCAUACACGGUUUGGGCCGGCGCCCACCAACAGCACCCAAGAUGCGCCGGCACUCAAGAUUCAAACUACUGGCACUACGAACUGGAAAACAUACUAGGUAGCAACGGUUGGGGAUCGGACGCCAUCGGAGGCUAAUACUAAGGGCAGAUAACAUGAUCACACGAUGGCCUCAUCGGCAGCUCCGUCGGGUCCGUUCAUACGAGCCAUGACCCGCAGCGCCUCGUCGUCCAGGUGAGUCAGCCUUGCGAUGACCGAGAUGUCGCCGUCUGACAGUGGCUCUUCGAAGCGCUGGAGAAGCGCCUUCGCUACUUCUGCCGUGAGCCUAUCUCGAGGGCCGAGAAGACCAAGCUCCUUUACGAUGCGCAGGGAUGCGCGCUGUGCCACCGGUACUGAGGAGCCGAUGGCAGCUUGCCGCGCACUGGAACGGGUCGGGGUAGAGGUGGCCCUCGUCUUGGGUGGCGCCGCGGGACGGCGCGCGGGUGCAGUAGCAAUGAGGGGCUGCUGCUUGGAGUUCCGGAAGAGACCUCGCGAUUCCGGCCCGGCUACUCUCCCGCCGAUCUCCAACUCCCUGACGCGUCCAGUGACAGCCCCGAGCUGGACCUCGAGAGGUAUGGCUGCUGAAGGGGUGGCCUUGUGGAACUGACCCAGCUCGGAUGCCGCGGCCGACAGCGUCGGGCUGAAGGCGUCCAGCUCCACCGACUCCCCCGGGGCUUGGAGAAGUGUGGCGUCGACGAAGUCAAGUGGGGCUGCGACUGCCGCCUCCGCGGCGUUGUGGACGUCAGCCGCCAGACCGUCGACGACGACGGAGGCGAGGGAGGGUUUCUUUGCGGUCUUGAAGAACUCUUCGACCGGGUCCUUGCCUACUGAACUGGACCUGUGACCUAGCUCGGGCUGGCUGCCCGCUGCAGCGUCGCCCGCGGACUUGGCUGACAGAGUCGGAGUUGACGAGACACUAGGACGCCUCGUCGGGCGCCUGGCCGACGCUUUGCUCCUCCCUGCCCCCGAGCGGCGGUCCGAAGACUCCCCAGUGUCGCGCCUUGCCGGUGGUGAUCUGCUGCGGCGGCGCCGAGAAGGCGAGGCGCGAGGGGCGCGCGAGGCGCCGCGGCGCAGGAGGACGUCCUUCCAGGACCUGUGGCCGCCUGCGCCCGAACCGCCCUCGCCGUCCCGGUCCCUUGGACGGCUAUCUCUAGGGGCGCCCCUGCACCCCACGCUGGCCACAGGAGCGGGAGCCCGGCGGUGUGCUCGCUCCCCUCCUUGGCCAUCUUCCACCCCCAGCGUCCAGGACGCAGGGGCCACGAGGGGAAAGGGAGUACCCUCGUCGUCGGAGCCAGACGACGGCAGUCCGCUGUGGGCGGAGCGGGAGGAGCGCGGAGAGGGCUGCGUCCAAUCCUCCACCCUGUCGACGUGAAUCAGCAUGGAGUACUCCGCCGAGGCCGGCGGUGGCGCGACUCUCCUGUCUGGUGGGGAGAAUCCCUCCAUCUCCUCCACCCUGCCGGCUCCACGAGGAAGGACCCCCAGCGUGUGCGACGUAGGGAUGUCCGCCACGUCUCUGGCCCAGACCCAGCAGGCAAAGGUCUUGGUGUGUCCUCGCUCAAGAGUCCGGCUGACGAGGCGGUCGACGCGGACCCGCCGGCCGAGGAUUUCCUCCGCCCCCUCCACCGACCAGAAGUGCAUGGGGACCUUCUCGAUGACGACGCGGACGUGGAGCAGGAGGGAGUCGAACGUGGCGAGGUCAUGCUCGUGCCACGGGCUGAUGUUGAAGCAGGCGCCGUCGAUCCGAAUGGAGCCCCGGCGCACGGCGUUGACCUGAUGAGCAGGCUGCGUGAAGGUGACGAAGAAGUGCUCGGGGUGGUGAGCUGUGACCCGCAGAGAGUGAACUGGCACCGAGAGCUGCGCCUCCAGGGCCUUGCCCACAGCCAUCGGCGAGGAGAUGUUGACCCCGUCAGCUGCGGUGAUAGUCACGGCGUGGCUACGGAGGAAGAACACCGCCUGGUCCAGAGCGGGGGAGAGCACCGCCGUGGACCGGCUCUCCCUGGGGCGCCGAGAAGGGUCGAGGUGACGGAGCAUGGAGGGAGUCGCCGGAGCCAUGGCCGCAGGUGGAGGAGGAGGGAAACGCAGACGGUCGGACAGUUGAAUCGUGCGAGGCGUCGGACCCAGCCUCUCUCUAAGCGAGAUGCCUGCCUUUCGGUUACGGGGGCACCUAGAGGCGAUGUGCCCUGCUCUCCUACAACUAAGGCAAUGAACUGGGUCACGGCAGGACGCCAAGCGAUGGCGCUUGCUGAGACAGCGAAAACAACGGCCGGCGAACGGGCUAAUAUGGAGCGGCGCAGCUUGCGGGUCAGCAGCAGAGUGGACAACGCGGCGGUCGGACCGGCGCGUACCUGGAAGAGACCGAGGGGCCGAGGGGUCCGCCGGUGCCAGGCGCUUUCCCCGCCGAGCCACCUCGGUCCAGCCCGGAUCCGUUCCCGAAAUGGUAACCUCGGCUCCCGAGGAGUCGACGAUGAUGGACUUGACGCGCCGGCCUUGAAUGCGCCCGGGCUCCCCCGGGACAGGUGAUGGAUCUCGCACCCGCGGAUCCCGCAGCUCCCAUCUCCUGUCUCCCAUCGGCGCCGGGGAGGGGGCACGCGGCGGACCGUCGGGUGCCGCGUAGGAGCACUCCCCUCGGAGCAGGAUCCGCGGCGCUGGGGCUGGAUCCGGCAGGGACCCCUGGGGCGACGCAGGAGGAGGAGGCCGGGCUGGAUCCGGCGGCGACGCAGGGGGAGCAGGCGACGGACCGCGGGGCUCUACGACGGCGCGCCGGCUGGAGCAUGGGGAGGCCGGGAAAACCGGCGGACCGCCGGGGAAGGCCCGCCCCGGCCGGUCAUAAUGGCUUGGUGGGUGGCCGCCGCGGCCGGAGUGGCCUGCGGCGCGGGGAGGGGUUGCAGGCUCUCUCGGGCUGGUCUCACUCACCUUCUCUAUCCCAGCUACAAUGGGUGACGAUGGUUAUCGAAGAGGUUAAAUGAGAAGCUGAUUAUUAGCCAUCAACAUUAUUUGGGUAAGUUUUGCUCCUUAGUGCAACACUAUUCCAUUAAUCAGUUUAUUACGUGAUACAUCCAGUCAACUUUUUUCUUCUUUUUUGCGAAAUGCCUAUUCAAGCCUUUGAAACUCUGCAUUUUGAAUCAUCCAGUCACUAACUAAUAAGUUAACGUGAGACUGUUUUUUGCAAAAAUACAUUAGGUUCCUCAAUAGAGAAAUUGUCCAAAUAUCAUCUGUCCUGUUUGCCCUGCCAAUUUCAGAAGCUUGAAUUGAAGUGCACAAAUCAAUCUGUGGUUUGUUAGAAGUAUAAUUGAAUUUAAGUCGAAGAUAAAAAGAUAAAGAGAUAGAGAUAAAAUUAGUUUAAACCACAUGUAACUUGUAUUGUACUCCAAGCCUCUACCCCUCAAGUACUCCUAUAUAUACCCCUAUAAGGGUUAGAGCAAUACAACACAAAAACACACAAUACUCGGCCAUCUAUAUUUUUCACAUGGUAUUAGAGCGGUUAGUCUCACGACGCCGAUCAUAGGUUCCUUCAUCACUUCUGCAGCACGCCGCCCCAGGAAGAUUAAUAUUCUCUCCCCGGAGACGCGGCACCCGAUCAAUCAAAGAUUAGAUCCGUUCUUGUAGCUUAGAUCAAUUCUUUAGAUUAGAUCAAGAUUCAAUUUUUCAAAAUUCCCUAGUCCAUCUAGUAGAUUGAUCCAACUCCGGUGAAAAGAAGUGCAGAAUGGACAUCAUCGGUGGUGCGCCGCAACGGCAGCGCACGGGGACGGGGGACAUCGCCGGAUGGACUACAUCGACGGGGAGGCUUCCGGCCCGGAACGACAACCUGCACCAUGUGCGCAUGGACUCUACAUCGACGAUUUGCUCAGCCAUGUGCCGCAGUCACCGUGAGACGCACGGUCGUUUCAGGCCCUCCAGCUGGUGUAUGAUCCAUGCAUACAUAGGAUGGAUCCAAGGAGAUCCAUAGCACGUUCAUACGUGCACGUGCCAUAGCAUAUAUCCGUGCAUGGUUUGGACACCUGCGCAUCCAUACUUCUUCCCAGGUCUGCCGAGCUGCAUCACUUGGAUCACGGGAGGGCGGACUCCUGAACUCCGUCGACUCCAGCGCCAUGUACGAUGACGAACUACACCGAGCCAAGCUACACCACCUCUUGCAUCGAGCUACAUCGAUCUGCACGUGUACCUGCGUCGGCAUGCCAUUUACAUCGAGCGAACGAACCAGCCGAACGUGCACCAGCAGCACGCAUCGAUCACGGGAGGGCGAACGCUCACACGCAUCGUUAACAACCACUAGUGGGGACAGGGCCUAUAGCCCCGGCCCUUAAGGGGCUUUAAUCCUCGUUCACCAAGCGGGACUAAAGGGACGGGACUAAAUGCCUAACCUUUAGUCUCGGCCCUGUUUCAAGCCGGGACCAAAGGUGUUUCACAUGGGCGCUUCGGAGCGUCCUCAGUGGCAGGCCUUUAGUCCCGGGUCUUAACACGGACCGGGACUAAAGAGUUUCUGCAGAUUUUGUUUAUUUUAGGGUUUUAGGGUUUAGGUGUUCGGGAGAUUAACGUGAUGCCUCGUUUGGUGUUCGGGAUUUAGUUUUUAUAUAAUUCUAAAUACACAUGUUUAUGCAUAUAUAUAUACAAUCGAAACCUGAAGGUUUGGAAUAUCGACAAAGACUUAGCCAUGGACAGGGGUGCGUGGAAGUUAGCUAUCCACGUUCCAGAGCCAUGACUUGGUUUCGAGAUCUUAUGGGUUUCAACUCUAGCCUACCCCAACUUGUUUGGGACUAAAAGGCUUGGUUGUUGUUGUUGUAUGCAUAUAUAUAUAUAUAAGAUUAACUUAUCUUACAAGUGAGCAUAUAUAUACAAUUAUAUGGAGAUCUGAAUUAUCGGGACUAGAGCCCGUCUAUUCGAUUACAUGGACCAACAUCAGUAAUGGCCCCUAGCUACACUAAAUCGUCAUUUGUCAUCUAUAGCUUACGUCCUCAGAAAGGUCGCAAACUCCUCUGCAACAGCAAUCGCGCAUUGCUCUGGUAGGGACUUCUCCCUCAUGGUCGUGUACUAUAUAAGAAGAGGAGAUGAAUAUGAAUAUCAAUCAUGAUAACAAAGGAUGACGGGUAAAAAUAUAGGUGUGAACGUUCAUUGCUUACGUCGUAUGUGUGAUCCUUGUGCUCAGAGGUAAACGUGCGAAUGGUCUCGCAAACAUAGUAUCCGCAUAGAUGCGUCCCUCGUGGCUGUUGGUCGCACUUUACGAGAAUAGAAUAUAUAUAAUCAAAAUAAUAAUCUAGCAUCAUAAAUGUAUUGAAAAUAGAAGUAUAUCAUACUACUACUUACCUGAGCCGCUCUAAAGGUUAGCUUCUCAGGCUCGAUACCGGGAGUCACGCACUUGAACCGCUUCCAAACCCUGCCCGACAAGGAAAAUGAUUUGCUAAGUUUUUCAUUAAUUGAUAUAUCAGAAAAUCAUCGAAAGAGACCGAUAGAGCGCAAGAAUGAUUGAAAUUACCCUUGGAGCAUGUCCUGCAGGCUUUGGAACUGUUCCAAGGGUCUCGAUAAUGGGUCGAAGGCAUCAACUCUUCCCUUAUCAAUUUGAAUGUCCAACAGAAUCCAAUGGAAGCUGCACAUGUAUAUAUAUAUGUUAGAAACCUUAGAAGGUUUUCCUCCGUCUCCUUGGGUUUAUCAGUUAGCGUCGCUAUAUGUAUUUUAUCUGGCUCAAUAAACCCAAUAUUUAGGAUGUUCCUACUUUUACAUUCCAGAAUCUUCAUUCUGCAUAAUAGAGUAUAAGUUAUAUGUAGACAAUGAAUUGAAAUAACUAAACAAGUUAUAUGUAGACAACGAAUUGAAAAACAUACAAACAAUAGCAACUCAUAAGCGAUUUGUCGAGGGCGUCGGCAUUGUACAUCUGGAAGAGUUCAUCAAAGUCGAUAUGGAUUUCUUCGGGGCGGUCGUAGUACUCCCGUGGGUCACUCACCACGAUCAUCGUUCUCUCAUUCUUUGAUUCACUUAAGUAUCAUGUAUGCAAGUAACGCAUAUUUGUUCGGAGAUCAUCUUUGCUGACCAAAGGCGCUCCCAUGACAAACUGUGGCUUAGGGGCUACCACAGCCUUGGGUAACGUGUCGUCUUGGGAAGCCAGAACGUCUUCAACCGGGAUACCCCAUUCAUCCGCCCACUUCUUUGCUAAUUCCAAAUCUUGCCCCUGCACCAGAGGGGGGGGCAUUCUCGGGUAACACCCUGAGGGGUGGGAUCGACUGUUUGGCCUGUUGUCCAAGUUGAGGAACGUCUGAUCUUUUUUUGCUUGUAGUUGAACUUGAUUUGCUCCCACUUGCACUUGCACGUGAUCUGCUCUUUUUCCCUUCCUUCUGCAAUGUGCGUGUAUAGUCAUCAGGCUUAUGGUGUAAGUCAUACUGUGAUGGAAGGUUCGUGAAGUAUUUUGCAAAUGCUAUUUGCUUCUCGGUGUAUUCCGGGCGGGGCUCGGGUUCCUUCUUUUUCAUCUGCGCAUCAUGAUAUUCCUUUGCUAUCCUGGUGUUUUCCUCGGCGGUACGAUCAUAAGGUCUGAUAGGAAGAUUAGCAUGAGGUACCUUUGGGAGGGGCGACAGUUUGCGCUUUGGGGAGCUCCUUCGCUUAGAAAUCAUCGACGGAGCGUUCUUGCUGGCACGCUUCCGCUUAGUAUCCGGAGCGGGCGGCGGCGGAGACGGACGACCCAAGUCCGGCGGCGGUGAUCGAGAUGGACUUGUGUUGUGCUGGCCGUCGUCAUGUGGAGGGCUUGGAGGUGAUGGAGGUGUAGGUGACCUGCGACGACUUGGAGGCAGUGUUGUCCUUGGGGCCGAGCCUGGAAGCUUGAUGUAGUUCUUGUCCCAUAGGAUGACUCCACCCAGUACUUCUCCGAGUGUCCUCUCAUCUUCGGGUCUAGCUAUGUCAAUCUCCAUAUCAUGAAACCCCGCCAUGAUUUCAUCCACCCCGACUUUAGCAAAGCCAGCUGGAAUCUCAUGGCCAUGCCAGCGUGCAUCAGGGCCAGAAGGUAAAGCUUGUCCGACGGCCACCUUCAUGGAUAUGUUCCUGAAUUUCUGAUGGAGUUCACAUGAUGUUGACUCCUUGAUUCCAUCCACGGGGUAGCCGGGACCGUCCUCUAUCAUUCUUCGUGCAUCGUCGGGCGGGGCCUCGGAUUCAGCCACGCUGCUUUUCCGCUUAGAUGGGGCGCCGGUAAUAUCGAGUGCAGGAUCUUCCUGGCGCGCUACUCCUCUAAGCUCAUCAAUCUGCUUCUGUUGCUCGUUAAUCCUGGCAAGCAACUGGUUGAACUUGUCAUUCUCCUCAUCCUGUUGUCGCUUCUUUGCUCUCGCUCGGCUUCUGUAAGUGUCUUGGUCUCUGGCAAACCCAAGCCACCAUGGGUAAGAAGGACCGAAGCCUCGCGUUCGUCCUCCAUGUUCGUCAUUGCCGAGGACUAGUGUGAGCAAAUCUUUCUCUCUAUCUGCAGUGAACUGUCUUUUUCCCUCCUUAAUUUCUUUCACUAUCUUUUUCCAAUUCUCCCUGGGUAUCCUAAGACCGUCACUGCAGAUGAGGUCCCCUGUUUCUUCGUCGUACGAACCACCAUGCGCAAGGAACCAAUUUCUUGCUCUCAAUUCCCACUCGUCACGGAGUGGUUCAGGUAUGAUGCCUUUAGCUAGCAGAUCUUGCUCUUUAUUAUCCCACUUUGUGAUGGCAGUCUCAUAGCCCCAUGGCCCCAGCGUGUGGUGAUAUUUCUUCUUGUCGGCAUUUUUCUUGUUCUUUUCUAAUAAUGCCUUGGCGUCUUCUAACUCCUUGUACUCUUGAAAUGCCUUCCAGUGAUUCGCCUGCUUGGCUAGAUAACCCUCGAAUACUGGCACUUUCUUUGUCUUCAGAUAGUUUUUCCAUAGCUUCUUCUUCCAGCUACGGAACAGUUCGGCCAUCUUCUUUAGAGUCCACUGCUUGACUUUGGCCCACAGUUUUUUUGCGGCGUCUUCAUUCUCACAUUCUGGCAGGUUGAAAUGUGACAUGAGAUCAUUCCAAAUAUUAUCUUUGUACCUUUCGGCGACAUAGUCACUAUCGGCUGCCCCUUUGCGCUUGUUCCACUCCCGAACGCUGAUCGGGACAUGAUCCCUAACGAGAACUCCGCACUGCUUCUUGAAUGUGUCAGCAACAUUCCUAGGAAGCUUGGGUUCGCCCGUAGGCAAUAUCACCUCAAAGGUGUAAUGCGUCCGUGCAUCCAACUUUCUAGUCGGGCCUCGUUUCGUAGAUUUGCUCGAUGUGGAGGCCUAAGAGGGAGAAACAUUCGUCAAAUGAAUGUAUAUCUAUACAAUAUAGAGCUAUCUCCAAUAUUUUUCACACAUUACAAGUGAUUUUCGAACUUCAUAUGUAUACCUCGCCGGACUUUAUUAUUUCUCCACCGGCUUCUCCAUUAGUGGAGCUAUCACCUUCUCCGUCAUUGGACCUAUCUCCUGCCCCAUCGGCUUCAUCUUCGUGUCGGUCGACCUCCAUUCCAUAUUCGGAGGGGUUUAGAUAUGACGACGGAGAUUCAGCUGGUUCAACGUCGGGGCCGUCUUUGAUUAUAUCUUCGAGAAGUUCUUCCUCUUCGAGGUUCCUGAUAUGUGGAUCCAUAGUUCUGCAAAAAACGGACAUUUGAUUAACUAAUAAACUAACAAACUAUAUAAGAGGGGUUGGAAACUUCGAAGUGUCGUUUUAUAUAGGAGGACCUUUAGUCCCGGGUCUUGGCUAGAACCUAAACUCUAAAAUAUGUCUAACGGAUUCUCUUAACCUUUAAGGAUUUAACAAAAUGGCGACAUUCUAGAUGUGUAGAAAAUGAUCCUAUUUUUCCUGAUCUCAUCUACCCUUCUAUAUGUCACAUUGUCUAGUGUCAAAGGACUUUGUCAAACUUUGUACCAAAAAAGAAUUAUUCUAUCAGGAACUCCGUUCCAAAACAACUUUAGUCCCGGGUCGUGGCUCCACCCGGGACUCCUAGAUUUCUGCAUAGUAUUCAAAGUAGGAGUACUUUUCCAAUUUGAUCAUUCAAUAAGCAAAACCAAAUCAUAAAAUAAAGUAGUAUUCAAAUUAGCAUGCAUUCAAUUAUAAGCAAAACUACAUCAUCUCUUGUGUCCGUACAUCGUCGAAUAUUAUCACUAAUACUCCUCGAAUACUAUCAUACAUAUAGCAUCACUGAUACAGCUAGAACCGUAGCGCCCGACGGGUAUCGUCGCGGGCGAUGGACACCCAAAGAGAAGGAACCAUCACAGGAGCAUAGCUCCAGUGAGAUCCCUGAAGAACCUGCCAGGUAUGCUCGAACCUGCCCUCCAACGCAACCAUGUAGCGACGGACGUGCUCAUCCUCCUCGCUGACACGGUGAUGUACCACCUACGCGGUGUCCGGAAGCCUCGGCACCGUCACUGGCCCACGCGACCGCCACCAAACAAGGAUUGGGUCAACAACGGGCUGGCUCCUCACCAACCUACGCCCCCCGGAAGGUAGCACCUCCCAAUACCAGCCGGGCGGAGCCCAGUCCCGGACAUGGCCCCUCUGAUCAAGCAGGUGUCCUCCGCCGAGUCGAAGACGAGGAUGCGGGAUAGGCAUCGUAAAAUGAACUAAAAAAAUAAACUAGUUCUAUUAAUUUUCUAAAAAAUGAACCAAAUAUUCUACAAAUAACACUUAAGCAUAUACAAUAGCAAAAUUAAGCAAUAAUCUAAAAAACACUAAUUAAGCAUCUAUAUACGUAGAAAUGUCUUCUUCUUCUUCUUCUUCUUCUUCUUCUUCUUCUUCUUCUUCUUCUUUUAUUCUCCGCUUCUUCUUCUCCUAUUUUUCUUCAACUUCUCUUCUUCUACUUCUCCUCUUCUUCUAUGUUUCCUCUUCUUCUCCUCUCCUCCUCUUCUUAUUCUCCUUUUUCUUAUUUUCUUCUCCUCCUCUUCUUAUUUUCCUUUUUCCUAAUCUUAUUUUCUUAUUUUUGUUCAUCUUUCUUCUUCUUGUAACCCUAACCUAAUUCUAAAUAUUACUAACCCUAAUAAUCUAGCACAAACCUAAUAACAAUAGGAAUUAAACGACAAAAAAAUAUUUUCUUCUUUUCUUCUCCUUUUUCUUCUUUUCUUCUCCUUUUUCUUCUUUUCUUCUCCUCCUCACCGGCCGGCACGACGGCGGCGGUGGCGUCUCCGCCGGCGGGCGCCGGCGGCUCGUCCUUCGUACGUGUUGGGGAGGAGGAGGGGGCGGGGGGCUUACCGGAGUGGGCAGGGCGACGGCGCCGACGAGGAGGACGGCGAGGAGGACGGCAGGGCGACGAGGAGGACGGCGAGGAGGAUGGCGAGGAGGACGGCGAGUAGGAUGGUAGGGGGACGGCGACGGCGGGCAGCCUGACGGCGUCGAGGAGUUCGUCCGUUGCCGCGCCGGGCAGGAGAGGCGAGCGAGAGGAAGAAGAGAACGAAAUGGAUUUUCGUUCGCGUCGUAUAUAUAGUAAGAUCUUUAGUCCCGUUUCGGGGCUCGAACCGGGACUAAAGACACCCUUUAGUCUCGGGUGGAGCCACGACCCGGGGCUAAAGACCCCUUUUCGGCAAGCGAGGAGGCGGGAAACGAGGGGCUUUAGUCCCGGAUCGGGGCUCGAGCCGGGAUUAAAGACACCCUUUAGUCCCGGGUCUAGCCACGACCCGGGGCUAAAGACCCCUUUUCGGCAGGCGGCACGCGAGGGGCUUUAGUCUCGGGUCGUGGCUCCACCCGGGACUAAAGCCCCUCCCAAGGUUUCGAACGAGAACUCAUCUCUUACAAAGGGAAUUCAUUUUUUUGAACUUAUUUGAACUCCAUACUUUUUGUGUGUUCAAAAUGCACCAUUCAAAGGCACAUCACAAAGUUUCAACAAUUUCUGACUUAAUUUGGUAUAUUUCGUGCAUUUACUUAUUUUUUUUAGCUAGUUGACCCUAAAAUUGAAAAGCACUACAAAUGAACUCUGAAAAUGUUGAAAUUUGGCAUGCUAUCAUCAUUUCACCCACAUAGCAUGUGUUAAAAAGUUGAGAGGGCUACGACAAAAACUGGAUGCACUUCGUGUACAAAACGGAUAUCUCUCUCGAAGUAUCAGCGUUUCGAACGAGAACUCAUCUCUUACAAAGGUUUAUUAAAAUUCUUUUUGCAUAUUUGAGAAUUUGACAAAACUAUGAUAAAGCCCCUCCGCUGGCUGCACGAUAAGUUUAGUCCCACCUCGCCCAGCGAGGGGCACUGAUACUAGUUUAUAAGCCCCGUCGCAGCAUCUCCAUCGAGCUCCUCUCUAAAGCAGGCUUACGGGCCUAAACAGACUGUAAAUUUAAAAAUAGAAACUAUAUUUGAAAUUAUGGAGAAAAUUCAACCUGAAUUCAAAGUGAGGUCACUUUGAAUUUAGGUUUAAUUUUCUCUAUAAAUUCUCAUAUAGUUUCAAUUUUUUUCUAUUUUCAAAAUUCAUUAUUUUGACUAUCCAAACUAUUAACUAUUUUGUUAUUUUCAAUUAAAAACUAUGUUUAUUAAAAUUCUUUUUGCAUAUUUGAGAAUUUGACAAAACUAUGAAAAUGAAAAGUGUUUGAAAUUUAGUACAUUCCAUACAUGCAUUACAUAAAAGGUUUAAUACAUUAUUACAUUAUUGCACCAAUAUUCCUAUCUAUUAUUUAUGUUUUCUUCUGGGUCGUAGCCAUGGAGAAUCUUCAUCAUUCAGUAGGAUGCUUGGGUCAGUUUUCACUUUGAAGGACGGAAUUUCAUGAAACUUAUUAUAAUUUACUGACAUGUCUGUCUUGUCAUCUACUCCCACGAUGUUUCUUUUCCGUGAAAGAACUAUGUGGCGUUUUGGCUCAUCGGACGAUAUCUUCUUUUGCUGAUUUCUUUUUCUCGUUUUUGUAGACAUGUCCUUCACAUAGAAAACCUGAGCGACAUCAUUGGCUAGGACAAAUGGUUCGUCCAUGUACGGAAGAUUGUUGAGAUCCACUGUUGUCAUGCCGUACUUUUGGUCUACAACUACCCCGCCUCCUGUCAGCUUCACGCAUUUGCACCGAAACAAAGGGAUCUUAAAAGUAGGUCCAUAGUCAAGUUCCCAUAUCUCCUCUAUGUACCCGUAAUAUGUUUCCAAACAGUGCCCAUUCUCGUCUGUUGCAUCAAAGCGGACACCACUAUUUUGGUUGGUGCUCUUUUUAUCUUGGGCAACCGUGUAAAAUGUAUUCCCAUUUAUCUCAUACCCUUGGAGAGUACAUAUAGUCGAAGAUGGUGGCCUGGCCAAACAGCACAGCUGAUCUCCAACGGUGUCGUCAUUCAUGAGAUGUGUCUGCAACCAACUGCCGAAAGUCUUCUCGCGUUCCCCUUUAAUCCAAGAGUCAGCCUUUCUCGGGUUUUCGGAGCGUAGAAUAUUCUUGUGUCUCACGAUAUACGGAGCCACCACGGUGGAAUUGUGUAGAACUGUGUAGUGUGCUUGAGAGAAAGAAUGCCCGUCCAUACAUACUUUUGCUUUCCUUCCUAGUGUGCCUUUUCCUGUCAGCCUACACUCAUACCGAGAUUCAGGAACACCAAUCGGCUUAAGGUCAGGAAGAAAGUCCACACAAAACUCAAUGACCUCCUCUGUUCCAUAGCCCUUGGAGAUGCUUCCUUCUGGCCUAGCACGGUUACGAACAUAUUUCUUUAAGUCUCCCAUGAACCUCUCGAAGGGGAACAUAUUGUGUAGAAACACAGGACCGAGAAUUCUAAUCUCUUCGACUAGGUGAACUAGGAGGUGUGUCAUUAUAUUGAAGAAGGAUGGCGGGAACAACAACUCAAAGCUGACCAGACAUUGGACCACAUCAAUCUGUAACCCUGAUAGACUUUCUCAAUCGAUUACCUUCUGAGAAAUUGCAUUGAGGAAUGCACAUACCUUCACAAUUGCCAGGCGAACAUUUUCCGGUAGAAUUCCCCUCAAUGCAACCGGAAGCAAUUGCGUCAUAAGCACGUGGCAGUCAUGAGACUUUAGGUUUUGGAAUUUUUUGUCUUUCAUAUUUACGAGUCCCUUUAUAUUCGACGAGAAGCCAGUCGGGACCUUGAUACUGAAAAGGACUUCAAAGAAGAUUUCCUUCUCUUCCUUAGUAAGAGUGUAGCUGGCACGCCCUUGCAACUAUCCUGGAUGCAUGACAUCUCUUCCUUUAUGACGUUCCUGGUCCUCCCGUGCUUCCGGUGUAUCUUUUGACUUCCCAUACAAGCCCAGGAAGCCUAGAAUAUUCACGCAGAGAUUCUUCGUCAGGUGCAUCACGUCGAUUGCCGAGCGGACCUCAUGGACUUCCCAGUAGGGUAGCUCCCAAAAUAUAGAUUUCUUCUUCCACAUGGGUACGCGCUUAUCAGGGCCGUUAGGAACAGGUUGGCUGCCAGGACCCUUUCCAAAGAUUACUUUUAAAUCUUUGACCAUAUCGAAUACUUCAGCACCAGUACGGAUGACAGGCUUCCCCCGGGGUUCUGCCUUGCCAUUGAAAUGCUUGCCUUUUUUUCUUUAAGGGAUGCUUGGGCGGAAGAAAACGACGAUUGUACGGGUACACAUUCUUCCUACAUUUGUCCAGAUAUAUACUUUCUGUCUGAUCCAAACAGUGCGUGCAUGCAUUGUAUCCCUUGUUUGACGGUCCUGAAAUGUUACUAAGAGCAGGCCAAUCAUUGAUGGUUACGGAAAGCAACACUCGAAGGUCAAAUUCCUCUUAUCUGUGCUCGUCCCACACACGUACACCUGGUUCGGCCCACAGCUGUAAAAGUUCAUCAACUAAUGGCCUUAGGUACACAUCAAUAUUGUUGUCGGGUUGCUUUGGACCUUGGAUAAGCACUGGCAUCAUAAUGAACUUACGCUUCAUGCACAACCAUGGAGGAAGGUUGUAGAUACAUAGAGUAACGGGCCAGGUGUUGUGACUACAACUCUGCUCCCCAAAAGGAUUCAUGCCAUCUUUACUCAGACCAAACCAUAAGUUCCUUGCGUCAGCUGCAAAUCUCGGGAACUCUCUCUCGAUUUUUCUCCACUGCCGAUCAUCAGCGGUGUGCCUCAACUUAUCGUCUUUCAUACGAUCUUCCAUGUGCCAUCGCAACAACUUCGCAUGAUCUUUAUUUCUGAACAGACGUUUCAACCGUGGUAUUAUAGGAGCAUACCACAUCACCUUGGCAGGAACCCUCUUCCUGGGUGGCUCGCCCUCAAUAUCACCAGGGUCAUCUUUUCUGAUCUUAUACCGCAAUGCAGUGCAUACCGGGCAUUUAUCCAUAUUCUCGUACUUCUCACCGCGGUAGAGGAUGCAGUCAUUAGGGCAUGCAUGUAUCUUCUGCACGUCUAAUCCUAGAGGGCAGACAAGCUUCUUUGCUUCGUACGUGCUGGCGGGCAAUUCGUUCUUUCUUGGAAGCAUCUUCUUCAUCAGUACCAGCAACUUUUCGAAUGACGAGUCAGUCACACCGGUCUCUGCCUUCCACUUCAGCAAUUCCAGUGUGCUACCCAGCUUCUUCUGGCCAUCUUCACAAGUUGGGUACAACAAUUUGUUGUGGUCCUGUAACAUCUGCUCGAACUGCAACCUCUCCUUUUUUGUGUCGCAACCUCGCCGUGCAUCAGAAAUGACCCGGCCAAGAUCAUCAGCGGGCUCAUCUGGUUCCCGUUCUUCAUCCUGAUCUUCUUCUUUAUUGUCUUCCAUUGCGGUAUCAGCAUACUCAGGGAACAUAGAUCGGUAGUUGUCAUCAUCGUUCUCUUCUUCUGCAUCGUCGUCUUCCAUCAUAACCCCUCUUUCUCCGUGCUUGGUCCAAACAUUAUAGCCCGACAUAAAACCGGACCGAAGCAGGUGGCUUUGAAUGACUCUUGAGGAAGUGUAAUUCUUCUCAUUCCGACAUUCAACACAUGGACAAAACAUAUAGCCACCACCAUGCUUGUUCGCAUCGGCUGCAUCUCGAAAAGAAUGCACGCCUUCUCUGUAAGCGGCUAUGCGUCGAUCACCGUACAUCCAUGGAUGGCUCAUCUGCGUUAUACGACAGUAUAUCAAAUACAAUCACGAUCCUAAAAAUUAGUACCGCACGGUCUAAACGAGGAAAUAUAGUUGCUAACCUUUUAGAAUAAGUAGAAAUAAAGAGAAAGAGGUUUAAGCGUGGCUCGGGCAUCUCAUAUCGUAGUUGUGUUCGGUGAACUGAAGCGGCAUCGCUCUAACACACAUUUCAACAAACACCUCUAGUGCAUCCAAGAAAAAUGGAGAGCUAGCACACACCCACACUCUUCCAUCCAAGAAAAAUGCAAGGAAGAGGGGAGAGGGGGGCUGUGGCCAAUAUAUAUAGGCAGAGGACUUUAGUCCCGGUUUGAGACACAAACCGGGACUAAAGGUGGCGCACAUGCGGGCUGCACACCGCGUAGCCCUUUAGUCCCGGUUUGAGACACAAACCGGGACUAAAGGCUCCUUACGGGCCGGGACCAAAGCCUCGUGGGCGGCAUUGCGAUUUUGGGCGACGUGGCCGGGCCUUUAGUCCCGGCCCAGAUGGAGGCCUCGGACUAAAGGGUCCAGGCCAAAGGCCCGUUUUCCACUAGUGAACAUCUGCAUCCACGGUCUUCGGCUUGGAGACACGUGCGAUCCUCACCAAGCAGACUCCGUCAACCUCUAGAGCACCGGCACACCGUCCACCAUCGGGCCACCGAUCAGCAUCUUCAUCGAGCUAUCUGCACUGACACCACGCCAUAACAUGAAGCUGUACGACUACAUCGUCUACAAAUUUCAUCGUCGAGUACGUCAACGAGAAACGGCAUCAACAUGCAUCAUCUACAUGCCAGGCCAGUGUGGAAAGUGAUGCAAUUCUUCAUCAACUUCUCCGGCGCGACACGGCAUCAACACUUCAUCGCCGCGAGGGACGCCUCCAAGCGACGGAUCAUCCUCGACAUGCUGCUGCGACGCCAUCGCCGACACUUCAUCGCCAAGGUCUUCAUCAACGUGCUCUUCAUCAACAUCUUCAUCAACACACCGCCGCCGCCUUGUCCACAAGAUGGACACCUAGCGUCCUCUGACAGAUUUUUUCUGCAAGACGCGACCUCGACGAUGGCAAUGACCGCGUCACGACGUUGGCAUCAACCACGUCAUCCAUGAUGGCAUGACUGCAUCGAAACGGCGUCACAAUAGUGACGACCCCUACAUGGCCUCACGGUUCUGGCAAAACUGAUGUGUGCUCGAUGGGUUUCCUCCGGUCCUGGCAAAACCGGCGGACUCAUCGCCGACGGCACCCUCUAACAUCCGAAAGGUGCAUCGUCCACGUCUGCAGCUCCAUCAUAGCGCUUUUUUUUUGCGCCUCCGGCUUUGUGCGGCUUCAUCAUCCACGACGAUCACACAUUGACCACGUCUACCUUGACCACGGCUACAUCACCAUGAUCGGCUACCUCGACAUCGACAUUCAUGGCUACGUCUACAACAACUCAUCGACAAUAACUCCAGUCAACAGCGUCCGCGUCGUCACUAGCAUCCCCGCCACUCCCGCUGCGACUGCGGGAGGAAAUAGAGGAGAGACAAGGAAGGCACCAGAAGGGGACGCAGUCACCGCCCUAGGUGCCGAUCCAUUAGAGACGCAGUUGAUGAUGACGCGUUGGAGAAGAUAACAAAGGCGCAAGACUUUAAAUUCAGUCGCAAGUGUCCGCUUCACUCCCGCUACGACUGAGGGGGAAUGUUAGAAGUAUAAUUGAGUUUAAGUUAGAGAUAAGGAGAUAAGGAGAUAGAGAUAGAAUUAGUUUAAACCACAUGUAACUUGUCUUGUACUCCAAGCCUCUACCCUUCAUGUACUCCUAUAUAUACCCCUAUAAGGUUAGAUCAAUACAACAUAAAAACACACAAUACUCAGUCAUCUAUAUUUUCCACGUGGUUUACCUUUUCUUCUCUAUGGGCUGCAGCGGCGAGCAAGUACUACCCUGAACCUGAAGUGCCAUUUGAUUGCAUAAGAGAACUUUCUGCCUGUGGUAGUAUUAUCAUACUGUGCGUGUGUGCUUAACUCAUGGUCUUUUUUAAAGCUUUCGAAACUCUGCAAUUUGAAUCAUCCAGUCACUGAUUAAUAAUUUAACGUGAGAUUCUAUUUUUGAUGCAUUCAGCUUCGUUAUUACUCUUGAGACACUUAUUUCAGGACGGAGGGAGUAUUCUACCACGCCACAAGUUCCUAACCAUGUCGUUGGAAACUCUGUAGGCAGGCUUGUAACGAGUUGAAGCCACUGCCAUGCCAUCAAGCGGCAACCUGUAGCAGCUUCCCGGAGGAAUAUCUGAUCCGUUGGACCUUUUACAACGACCCAGAUAUCCAAAUGAUUAUUGCAAAAAUACAUUAGGUUCCUCGUUCAGAAAAGUUGUCCAAUUAUCAUCUGUCCGGUUUGCACAGCCAAUUUCAGAAGCUUGAAUUGAAGUGCACAAAUCAAUCUGUGAUUUACAUUUUUCUUCUCUAUUGGCUGCAGCGGCGAGCAAGUACGAAGAGAACUUUCUACCUGUGGCAGUAUUAUCAUGCUCUGCGAGUGUACUUAACUCAUGGUCUUUUUUAAUGUGAAUAACUGUGAAGAGAAGCUACCAUCUUCUUAUUGUCUAGUACUCCCUCCGUCUCAAAAUUCUUGUCUUACAUUUAUCUAGAUAUGAAUGCAUCUAGUCAUGUUUUAGUACUUAAAUAUAUCUAUUUUUAGACAAACCUAAGACAAGAAUUUUGGGACUGAGGGAGUAUAAAAUUGAAAUGUGUGUUUCCUUGUGCACACACCAUAAUGGAAAGGCACUUUCUUAUUGAAAGGCAUGAAUCCUACGAGUCUGAAUCUACAUUUAAGGAUUUGCGCUUCAAUUUUUUGACUCGAGCAAAAUUGCAGUCGUUUACUGACCAUUCUGCUAUGAAGAAAGUAUAAGGUGGACAACUGCUACUGCUUGCUGGCGCCGGGGUUGCAGCUAAUGACGAAAAUUGGUUAUGAAAGAUAAGCCCCAAAUCUGGAAGGAACACAUUCGAAUUCUACAAAGUCCAGGCUCUAGUAUUACCAAAUAAUUGUUUGAUUAAUACUCCCUCCGUUUCUAAAUAUAAAGUGCAUUAGUUUAUCAAAAAGUCAAUUGUUGUCUAUGUUUGAUUAACAUUAUAGCAAAAUAUAUAAAUAUUUACAAAACCGAAUAUAUAUAAUAUAAAGAUAUACUUCAAGGUGAAUCUAGUGAUAAUGAUUUCAUAUUCUAGAUAUUGAUAUUUUUGUCAAUAAAUUUGAUCAAAGUUUGAGAACUUUGACUUUAAAAAAACAAUACAUUUUAUAAUUAGAAACGGAGGGAGUACCUUAAUUAUGAAACUUUUCAUGCACAAGAACACAAUGCUUAGAUAGGCAGAAAACUUGUAUACCGUCGUCACGGAUGAGCCUACCGAGGGUGGGAGCCCAAUCUAUCACCGACCGGUCGUCCGACGUCCGCCGGUUAAUAACAUGUUUGUUUUUUCUUAUGCAAUGUAACAUGCCAUCUACUAGAACAAGCAAUAAAACAUGCUAUACAAUGAAUUUUCUAAAAAUAAAUGGUUGUGUGCGCAAACAAAUUUUUUUUUUGGUGAUUAAUGCUUCAAGGUUUUUGCCUAUGCAAGGUCAGUAGCACAUGCGUGGUUACUCAAGUUAAACAGAUCCAGGUUUUAUUACAGCUAGGCCCAAAUAAAUAUCUGUGAGUAAGCCACAUCAAAUAUUCCCCCCGUUUCUAAAUAUAAGACAUUUUAGAGAUUUUACUUAUGGACUACAUACGAAAGGACUUAUGGACUACAUACGAAAUGACCAAUGUCCGUCUGGCCCGAGAAAACCUUUGCACGCCUCCGUUACCUUUUGGGAGCAUAUAAACAUUUUUUUAGUGCAGAUUCAUUUAUUUUGCUUUGUACUCCCUCCGUUCCUAAAUAUAAGACCUUCUAGAGAUUACACUAUAGACUACAUACGGAGCAAAAUGAGUGAAUCUAUACUUUAAAAUAUGUCCAUAUACAUCCGUAUAUAGUCCAUAGUGUAAUCUCUAAAAGGUCUUAUAUUUAGGAACGAAGGGAGUACAUAGUCCAUAGUAAAAUCUCUAAAAGGCCUUAUAUUUAGGAACGGAGGGAGUAAUAUUUUGAAGUAAGGAUGUGAGGGUGAACUCCUAUAUAUUGCUUAUUUCUAUUCAAUAGAAAACAAUUCAUCGUCGCUAGUCAGGUUAGGCUAUCUGUCUUUCAGCCAGACCACGUUAUCCAGACUGAUCAAACUCAACUAAUUCGGGACAGAGGUAUACAUGGAGCGGCUCAAUGGCGUAUACGGAUAGACUGAUAGAGGCAUGCAAAAUUGCUACAUUCCCAAAAUUAGGAAACCCCAGUUUGAUCAACGGAGAUAUGUACAUCAGGCAACAUUUCAUCCGACCAAAAUAGAACUACCUACAUUUUUUUUUUUGCUUCAGGCAUGCUGUGACAAAAAAUGCUUUCAAGAAUAUUUUGGGCCUGUUCAGUCAGCCCAAUGUCGAUUCCAUGCCGUGGCAAAAUGACAUGAGCAGGGACAUGAGCAGAGGAACAGUUCUUCAGUCAUUCAGAGACUACUGGAUGCUUUCCCUCACUCCAGCAGCAGCUGUUCUAACUCAUCAAAGGCGUCGGUUUCAUUUUCGUCAUAGAAUUCUCCAGAUUCGUCGUUGUCAACCACCACCAUUUCAUCAUGAGGAGAUACACCUGUUUUCUGGUAGAACUCUUCCUUCUGGGCAUCCCACUCUUUGACGAUUUCCUCUACUUUGUCACCCAGCAGUUUGUCAUUCUGAAGGAUGUGCUUGGCAUCUUCCACAUCAACAGUUUGGCUUGCCUCUGCCAAGGGUAGCGAUAGGGUCAAUGACAGUUCCAAUGCUACAAAAAAUACAGGUAGUGUAAGAAGAUGAUGAGAAGAGAUAAGCACCUGCAAAAGCUGAUUCUUUGGCUUUAGCGUAGUCCAUUGACAAUUUCUUGAUGCUGUCAAGUUCAAACUCCACUCCCUAGAUGCAGAUUGAUGUGUCAGCAACAGAAGAGAUUAUGAGUACCAUUGAUACCAAAAAAAAAAAAUGAUUGCCUCAUCUUGAUAUUGUUUCUUAUAUCGAUAAUGCCAGCACUACACAGCAUAGCAGUUCUUUAUUAAAACCAUUAACUGGAACCGUUACAGGCUACGUCAAUCACUAACAUUGGCAGACUGAAGGGGGGUAGGCUGUGGAGUGGAUAAAAUAAAUGAUAACGUCAACCCUAAUGGUGAUGCAAUGGAGUGUGUUAAAAAUGAAUCUAAAAAGAGGCCAUGAACGGAAACAAACUAAACUUACCAAAUCUGUGUGCGUAUAACUCCCUAUUUGAGUAUUUGCAAACAACCUGGAACAUUAAAAAAAUAUCAGAAUAUUAGUAAAUAAUCGGUAAUGUGUUCUUGUUUGCAUACAGAGAAUAAAACGAAGGGAAGAGCUUACUACCCUGCAAGAAGAGAACACAAAUGCUAAUGAUGAACAUCAGACGAGACAGAUGGUAAAGAAGAAAAUCCACAUACUUGUCACAGGCAAAUUCCACCCGUUUAUUCUGGGAUGCAUUCAUUUCAUCAACCUCCUUUGCCACAAUGUCACCAAGCAAAUUUAUGAACCCAAACAGAAACAUGCCUUUAUCUAGCAUCCUUUUGACAAGUGCUGGUACAAGACCAAGCCCGUUCUGCUUAGCCUCAAUGACAAAGUCUUUGAGUUUCUUGGACUCCUCUGUUGCAAUCACAUAUUCAGGGAAUUAAUCUUCCCAUUGCAGUAAGACGUAAAUCAGUGACUAUAUACCUUACCAAGAGACAGAUAAAUUUUGAAGUGUGGCUUGUAUGGUUGACACUCAUAAAGGCAGUAAAGGCAGUAAAGCCCAGGCAACCUCUGAAGUAGAGAACUUUGGGAAGUCAUAUGGCCUACAUAUAUAGACAAGAAAAAGAAAAUACAUCACCAGUGCUGUAAGAAAGAUUGUUGUAGGUAAAGUGGCAAUUACAGGGAAACCAUAGCCUACCAAUACAAUGCAAAAAGAGGGAUUGCAUAAAAACGCCCGAGUUCGUCUUGGGCCUGCCUUCAUAGAUAUAAGAAAACUUCUUGGCCAUCCACACUCUCUUGAAAUCAGUGAAUGACGUGCAAUUUUCCUGCCAAACAGAAGCACAUGGAUGCUACUUAUUUAACAUGUAUAUGAGCAUGGCACACCUUGACUAACUGCAUGACAGAAAAAAGAAAUCACCUUGGUAUAAUCAUCUAGUAACUCGUCAAUAUCCAUCUUGAAAGGGGCGAGAUCCAUACUUAAAGUCAAUGGCAAACGUGAACCUGAAUCCACAAACAACUACUCAUCAACAAUAAAAUAAACAACUGCUCACUUCAAUCAGAAAUGUAAUAUUGAAACGGGACUUUUGAGCUUGGUUUUGCAGUCCACCUUAUUUUUUCUACGGACUGCCACUACAUCACCUCCAUAUCAAUUUGGCGAAAUCAUCCACUUUUUUUGGCAUUGCCGUUGCUUUCCAAAUGCACUUAGUCACUCUUAAUUAUCAGCGUAACAGUUAGUUAAAUGCAUCUUUCCUGAGCUGUAACGGCAGCAAUUUACUAAAACUAGUAAGCAAGCAUUCAUCGCCAAACUAAAUAGAUUACAGUGCACAACCAAGUAAAACCACAAUCUGACCGUGAAUCUAGAAUAAUCUCCACAAAACUCGGCUAUUCUAUUAGUCCCGAAGGAAGUGAUGACAAAGCAUUCAUGCUGCAGGACCGGAGGAAAAAUAGACUCGUGUGUAUAAACUGGUAGCAAAUCGAUCCUACUGACCACUGACCAGAGAGACCUCAGGAUUGCCUAAUAAGUGAAUUCAAGCAGAGAUGCUAAGCUGUUGACCGAGUAGUUAGGGAGGAAAACCUACACCGUGAAAGAAUCGGGGAGAGACUCACCGGAGAAGAACACACUGCCGAGGUGGGCGACCGGAGUUUAGCAAGAACACAAAAUUACGGCAGUAGGCACGGGGCUGCAGGAGGUAGGGAAGGAGAGGGCUGGAGGCUUCGCGGCGGUAGGAUGCAGGGGCGGAGGAGCGUUGGAGCAACGGCCGCCGCGACACAAUGAGGAGGGGGCGGCGUGAGCUGGAUGCGGGGCGGCCUAGGGUGGAUCAGGAGACGCGCUAGAGGGGCGGAGCUAGCAUCUGACAUCAGGGUGGUCCGCUCCCAAAUUUUUUUUGACAAGCAAUAUGACAUGCGAACGUUCUAACCGAUUAUCAAUAUCAUAAAGAAAGAGAUUAACAUGGUCUUACAAACGCACUAAAAUUCUUAAUUAAAUCUUAGUGCAAAAAUUAUCUAUAGGCAUAGUGCAAAAAAUCAAACCCUAAGUCAGAAAUUAGGGUAUUUCAGUACCUUUAAUUGGGGUAUUAUGGGGGCUGGUGUGGUGACUGAGCGGCAGUGGCUACCGCCUGAUCUGCAGGGGGGUGAGGGCAGGGGCGCGACCGGACCAGAGGGCGAGCGGGAAGGAGAGGCGGGACCACGGGAGCCUCCUGGGUGCCAGGUGGCUGGGCUCCGGGAUCCGGUCAGCGGCGGGCGGCAGGCGGCGAGGUUGCAAGGGACGGCGAUGGUGAGGUGGCUGAGCAUAGAGGUCAACCAGCGUCGUGCGAGGGCAUAGCCGCGUGGGGACGAAGGGCUCUGCUCGAUGUGGGCGUGGCUACGUGGGUCAACCAAACUUGGCAAAAUACCACUAUGAAAAUCAAACAUGUCAUUAUGUCAAUGUAGCACUACUUUCAGUUUUCUCUAGCCAAAAUACCAUUAGUGACUAAAUAAGACUAACACCAUCCAAAGAAGACUUCUAUGCCCUUACCUCUUCACAGCCCAAGUAUACAUUUCAGCAAACAAAAAGCAGCUAUAGUGCAACAUUUUAACAGCCAAUUGACAUGAAAACACCACCAACUCAACAUAAUCUUACUUUGCAUCAUCCAACAACAAUAUAGCCCCUUUUUGUACACUCGUUUGCCGUCUACAAUCGUCAAGUAAGACUGAACA
rnacentral:lncRNA from 1 species